CACGUAGGGCGCGAGCGUUGUCCGGAAUUAUUGGGCGUAAAGAGCUCGUAGGCGGCCUGUUGCGUCCGCUGUGAAAGCCCGGGGCUUAACCCCGGGUCGGCAGUGGAUACGGGCAGGCUAGAGGUAGGUAGGGGAGAAUGGAAUUCCCGGUGUAGCGGUGAAAUGCGCAGAUAUCGGGAGGAUCACCGGUGGCGAAGGCGGUUCUCUGGGCCUUACCUGACGCUGAGGAGCGAAAGCGUGGGGAGCGAACAGG
rnacentral:rRNA from 1 species